rnacentral:rRNA from 1 species
UACAGAGGUCCCAAGCGUUGUUCGGAUUUACUGGGCGUAAAGGGUGCGUAGGCGGUCGGGUAAGUCUGAUGUGAAAUCUCUGGGCUCAACCCAGAAAUGGCAUUGGAUACUAUUCGGCUAGAGAGUUGGAGGGGGGACUGGAAUACUUGGUGUAGCAGUGAAAUGCGUAGAUAUCAAGUGGAACACCAGUGGCGAAGGCGAGUCCCCGGACAACUUCUGACGCUGAGGCACGAAAGCUAGGGGAGCAAACAGG